UACGUAGGGUGCGAGCGUUGCCCGGAUUUAUUGGGCGUAAAGGGCGCGUAGGCGGCCACGCACGUCCGUUGUGAAAUCGCCCGGCUCAACUGGGCGGGGUCAGCGGAUACGGUGUGGCUAGAGCAAGCUAGGGGGCAAUGGAAUUCCCGGUGUAGUGGUGGAAUGCGUAGAGAUCCGGAGGAACACCGAAGGCGAAGGCAGUGUCCUGGCGAGUGACUGACGCUGAGGUGCGAAAGCCAGGGGAGCGAACGGG
rnacentral:rRNA from 1 species